rnacentral:rRNA from 1 species
UGGGGAAUUUUGGACAAUGGGGGCAACCCUGAUCCAGCAAUGCCGCGUGUGUUAAGAAGGCCUUCGGGUUGUAAAGCACUUUUGUCCGGGAAGAAAUCGCACCUGAUAAUACCGGGUGUGGAUGACGGUACCGGAAGAAUAAGGACCGGCUAACUACGUGCCAGCAGCCGCGGUAAUACGUAGGGUCCAAGCGUUAAUCGGAAUUACUGGGCGUAAAGCGUGCGCAGGCGGUUGUGCAAGACCGAUGUGAAAUCCCCGGGCUUAACCUGGGAAUUGCAUUGGUGACUGCACGGCUAUAGUGUGUCAGAGGGGGGUAGAAUUCCACGUGUAGCAGUGAAAUGCGUAGAGAUGUGGAGGAAUACCGAUGGCGAAGGCAGCCCCCUGGGAUAACACUGACGAGCAUGCACGAAAGCGGGGGGAGCAAACAGG